AGUGACAUUAUAUACUGAAUUCCUCCCGAUAAAAUCCAGAGGGAUAUCUAUAAUCCUGUUAGGGGUGUUCUGGGCCCUGGGUGCUGUGUUUGAAGUGUUACUGGCUAUGGUGGUCAUGCCCACAUUAGGCUGGAAAUGGCUGCUAGCUUUCUCCACCUUUCCUCUUGUUAUCUUUGCUGCCUCCUGCUGUUGGUUACCAGAAAGUGCUAGAUAAGACAAGGCCCUGGACACUUUGAAAUAUAUAGCAGCAGAUAAUGGGAGCUCUAUGCCUACUGGAAG